rnacentral:rRNA from 1 species
UCUUCCGGGAGGGGGGACCUAUGUCUUCAUAUACCACUUCGUGUAGAAAGUCUUAGAAUGUUUUACUAUCGGAGAGUCGCGACUUCUAGGAGACGCGAAUCUACGAGAUAAAAGUUAAUUACAACUUUCAGCAAUGGAUCUCUUGGCUCUCGCAUCGAUGAAGAACGCAGCGAAAAGCGAUAUGUAAUGUGAAUUGCAGAUCUACAGUGAAUCAUCGAAUCUUUGAACGCACCUUGCGCUCCUCGGUGUUCCGAGGAGCAUGCCUGUUUGAGUGUCAGUAAAUUCUCAACCCCUCUCGAUUUGUUUCGAGGGGGAGAUUGGAUGGUGGGGGCUGCCGGAGACUAGGACUCGUCCUGGACUCGGGCUCUCCUUAAAUGCAUCGGCUUGCGGUCGACUUUCGACUUUGCGCGACAAGGCUUUCGGCGUGAUAAUGAUCGCCGUUCGCUGAAGCGCAUGAAUGAAGGUCCCGCGCCUCUAAUACGUCGACUGUUACUAUCUCUUCGGAGAGAAAACGUCUUCCUCAAUUGAC